AGGAGAUCCGGGGAAGGAGAUCCGGGGAAGGAGAUCCGGGGAAGGAGAUCCGGGGAAGGAGAUCCGGGGAAGGAUUGGUGGCACAGGUGUGCUGCGGGUGUGGAUGGUGCAGCAGAGGCGGAAGCAGCCGGGAGCGUGGCUAGAACGCCAGCAGGAUUCGGCACAGCAUUACCCGGCAGUAGGGGCUUGGUCCGAGUGGCGUGUGAGUGCAGCGGCUGGCAGCAGAUUCAGGAGGAACUGCUGGAGUGUGUGCAUGCGGUGACGUCAGCGGCGGCUCAAAGGGAAUGCUGGAUAGAAGACCGAGGGUCAUCCUAUACACCACAGGCGUGUUGCUGCAAUUUCUGGGUAGUGGUUUCGAUCACUACCCGGAACUGUCCACUAGGCUAAUUUAAACCCAAGCUUGAGUACACAAAGGACAUAUUACUGGUCAGUCUUUUCUUUUAUUUUGUCCUAGAGCGGCGUGGUGAGACUCAAGGGAGCCGUGUCUACAUUCCCCUGGUCGUUAUGGACUUCUUUUAUUGAAACAGUGAACCGGACUUUCCUUUCUUUUAGUUCCUGUGUAUUCUUGGUUCCCCUUUGUGUUUUUUUUUUUGGUUUAUUUGGUAUUAUUCUUUUGUUUUGCGUUUUUGUUUAUUUAUUUUCCUGUUUUGCUUUCGUUCCCAUUAAUCUACUGCAACGACCUAGCUUUUAGUGUGUAUAUAUUUGCUCAAAGUAUAAAAUAAAACAUUGCUUGUUUGAGUAUGCUGUC